GCCAGGUGUGGUGGUCUGCACCUGUAAUCCCAGCAGCUCGGGAGGCUGAGGCAGGAGGAACGCAAGUUCAAAGUCAGCCUCAGCAAAAGCGAGGCACUAAGCAACUCGGUGAGACCCUGUCUCUA
rnacentral:sRNA from 1 species